GCCGGGAUGGCGGAAUUGGUAGACGCAGCGGAUUCAAAAUCCGCCGGGUGUACGCCCUUGAGAGUUCGAGUCUCUCUCUCGGUACCA
rnacentral:tRNA from 1 species